rnacentral:rRNA from 1 species
GACUCUUGAAAAUGGAUAUCGUGGCUCUUGUCAUGAUGAAGAACAUAGAGAAAUGUGAUACUUAGUGUGAAUUACAAAAUCCCGUGAAUCAUCAAUUUUUUUAACGCAAUUUAUGCCCGACGCCUCGGUCAAGGGAAUAUCUGUCUGGGCAUUU